rnacentral:sRNA from 1 species
CCAGUCCAUCACAGGGGCUUAGGAAAUGACAGCUAACUUGCAAUUAUGCCUUUGCAAUUACUGUCAGGAUUUCCUCUAAUCCUGAGCCAACGGAGUGGACUCUUCAAAAUCCAUCUCCCAAGGGACCAAUCACUUCUGAUCAGGAAGCUUCCACAGCCAAAAAGAAUAUCGAACAGAGUGCCGGCUGCUUCUACCCAACACUGCUUGCAGACAGGCGAAAUAGAGAAAGGAUAUGAUUAACCUUGACAUUCCAGAAGGCUUGCUCCUCCUCCUCUGUCCUCUUCUACCCUAGUGUUUCAGACGGUUUGCACGGAGUUACAAUCAGCACAUGAGGGUUAAAUUAAUGAAG